GGACUACCGGGGUUUCUAAUCCAGUUCGCUACCCACGCUUUCGUGUUUCAGUGUCAGGAAUGCGCCAGUGAAUUGCCUUCGCUUUUGGUGUUCCCCAUGAUAUCAACGGAUUUCACCCCUACUCCAUGAGUUCCAUUCACCCCUCGCAUCCUCGAGUCGUGCCGUUUCCCUUGCUGACCCCCGGUUAAGCCGAAGAAUUUAACAAGAGACUAACACGACCACCUACACACCCUUUACGCCCAAUGAUUCCGGAUAACGCUUGGGGCACUCGUAUUACCGCGGCUGCUGGCAC
rnacentral:rRNA from 1 species